GGCGAAUGACAAAGACAUAGUCAUUUUGAAAAUUGUGGUCCGUGAUCAUGAAUUGUAAUAUUCAAAAUGCAUUGCUAACAAAAUUGCAUAUGUUAGUUUAUUGGAAAGAACAUUACAAAGGGUGAAAAUCCCAUGUGUCAUGUGUAUGUUUUGUGUACAGUGUGCAUUUCAUGAUUCACAUUCAUUGACAAUUGAAUGUAAAGCGAAUGGUAAACUUCAUUUAAACAUAAAUAUGUUGUUGAAAACUUAUAUCGAACAAAUACCAUGAGGGAAAUGUGAAAAGGAUUUUGAAAAGAAAAUUAAAAGAGCUUACAAUUGCUGGAUUGAUAAGCAAACAAAACACACAUGUGUAUGUGCAAGAUUGUUGUCAUGUUGUGCAAUUCAUGCAAAUUAACAUUGCUUUGGUUUUUGUGUAAUUUUGUCAGCUUUGGAAUUGAGAAUGAUUUUUUUGAGUGUGAAUGGAUUGUUGUUUGUUAACAAAGGAAUGCACUUUCAAAAUCAUUGUUUGAUUUGUCAAUCAAGUUUGUGGCGUGUGUUGUGUGUCAAAUUUAAUUAUAUAAUUCACAAAACACAUGAAGUUUGAGCUAUUAAAGGCAAUUCUUGUUUUGUUUGACCCGUCUC
rnacentral:rRNA from 1 species